rnacentral:rRNA from 1 species
UACGGAGGGUGCGAGCGUUGUCCGGAAUCACUGGGCGUAAAGGGCGCGUAGGCGGCGCGGAUAGUCGGCGGUGAAAGCCCGGAGCUCAACUCCGGGUCGGCCGUCGAUACUUCCGGGCUUGAGCACUGUAGAGGCAGAUGGAAUUCCGGGUGUAGCGGUGGAAUGCGUAGAGAUCCGGAAGAACACCGGUGGCGAAGGCGGGUCUCUGGGCCGAUACUGACGCUGAGGAGCGAAAGCGUGGGGAGCAAACGGG